ACAUGCAGUCGAGCGAAUGGAUUAAGAGCUUGCUCUUAUGAAGUUAGCGGCGGACGGGUGAGUAACACGUGGGUAACCUGCCCAUAAGACUGGGAUAACUCCGGGAAACCGGGGCUAAUACCGGAUAACAUUUUGAACCGCAUGGUUCGAAAUUGAAAGGCGGCUUCGGCUGUCACUUAUGGAUGGACCCGCGUCGCAUUAGCUAGUUGGUGAGGUAACGGCUCACCAAGGCAACGAUGCGUAGCCGACCUGAGAGGGCGAUCGACCACACUGGGACUGAGACACGAACAAAACUCAUACGGGAGGCAGCAGUAUGCAAUCUUCCGCAAUGGACGAAAGUCUGACGGAGCAACGCCGCGUGAGUGAUGAAGGCUUUCGGGUCGUAAAACUCUGUUGUUAGGGAAGAACAAGUGCUAGUUGAAUAAGCUGGCACCUUGACGGUACCUAACCAGAAAGCCACGGCUAACUACGUGCCAGCAGCCGCGGUAAUACGUAGGUGGCAAGCGUUAUCCGGAAUUAUUGGGCGUACAGCGCGCGCAGUUGUUUUCUUAAGUCUGAUGUGAAAGCCCACGGCUCAACCGUGGAGGGUCAUUGGAAACUGGGAGACUUGAGUGCAGAAGAGGAAAGUGGAAUUCCAUGUGUAGCGGUGAAA
rnacentral:rRNA from 2 species